GCAUCGGCUGGCGUACCGCUACGCGACGCAGUCCACGUUCAUCGUGGCCUGCAUCGAUGGGCAGCCGUUGAUCGAAUCGUUCGAUUCGAGCCAGAUAUCC
rnacentral:tRNA from 1 species